GGUGAUCGAGGCUGGUGCCGGACUUCAGAGCCGUGGAGGAGGUCGGGGUCGAUGGUGAU
rnacentral:tRNA from 14 species